GAUGAACGCUGGCGGCGUGCCUAAUACAUGCAAGUCGAGCGGAGCGGGGACGGGUGAGUAACACGUGGAUAACCUCCUAUAAGACUGGGAUAACUUCGGGAAACCUAAGAUAAACCGGUUCCUUAUAGAUAGAUCCGCGCUGCAUUCGCUAGUUGGUAAGGUAACGGCUUACCAAGGCAACGAUGCAUAGCCGACCUGAGAGGGUGAUCGGCCACACGGGAACUGAGACACGGUCCAGACUCCUAAGGGAGGCAGCAGUAGGGAAUCUUCGGCAAUGGGCGAAAGCCUGACGGAGCAAUGCCGCGUGAGUGAUGAAGGUCUUCGGAGCGUAAAACUCUGUUAUUAGGGAAGCGGUACCUAAUCAGAAAGCAACGGCUAACUACGUGCCAGCAGCCGCGGUAAUAC
rnacentral:rRNA from 1 species